GUACAAGGUGAUUCCCUCUCCAAGGGGCCCAACUAGCGUCUUUUUCAGGAAAGUAGCAACUUGGAAGAAAAUCCAGCAUGCCCAAGGGCUCUAGGGAACAAAGGGAUACUUGCCUCUUUGCCUGCCUUGGGUUGCCUACAUGU